rnacentral:rRNA from 1 species
ACGUAGGGGGCGAGCGUUGUCCGGAAUUACUGGGCGUAAAGGGUGCGUAGGCGGCCUUUUAAGUUGGAUGUGAAAUACCCGGGCUUAACCUGGGGGGUGCCUUUGAUACUGGGAGGCUUGAGUUCAGGAGAGGGAAGCGGAAUUCCUAGUGUAGCGGUGAAAUGCGUAGAUAUUAGGAGGAACACCAGUGGCGAAGGCGGCUUACUGGACUGAAACUGACGCUGAGGCACGAAAGCGUGGGGAGCAAACAG